rnacentral:lncRNA from 12 species
CUAAACACUUGUACAAGACCUGAUAAGCUUAACUCUAGGAGAGCCAAAGUGUUCCCAGUACAUUUUUAUGGCCAGCUUUUGUUGCUGCUGACAUUUUCUGCUCAUCUCACUUUCUUUAUUGCCUUCAAGUUUUCAUCCCCAGCUCAUCUUUGCUAUGGUAGCACUUUUUCAGACCCAGUUCUCUGUGGAGUUGUGGUGGACCAGGGGCUACUCAGGUGUGGUAACACCACCCACAACAGAUCCAUCAGCCACUGUCAUGUGAACUGCAGGCUCCUGGCUGCUCCUGAGGUUCCCCCAGUUUGAAAAGCCCCCUGAGGACCAGGCUGAUAGUGCCAGCACCAGAGCCACUUGCUCAGUAAGUGAUACAACAACAGUGGCACAUCUCAACCAAAGGGAGCCCACGCUGCAGGGGAGGGAGGAGGACACAGUACCCAGUGAGAGCCCAGCCAGUCUCCUCCAGGAGCAGCUCUGGCCACAGCAGGCCAUAAAGAGUUGAUUAUUCCUGCAGGCUUGAGCACACUCACCAGUCACCUACUGCCAGCUGCAGUGAAGGGCAGCAGUGUCACAACCUCCCCACUCAAGUAUAAUCUCAAAGUUCCCCACCAAUUAAGAAGAUGUCUUGACCUCUUUCAAGCUGCCUGUUCCUCACUCAGCUGGAUAAAGGAGAGAAGCCAUGUGGAUUCCUGCUGUUCAUCCCUAGCCAAGCCCUCCUUCAGGCACCCUCCAAGCGCUUCUGGCCCUGAACACUCAGGACAUGCUGCCCCAGGACUGAAAGGGGACACAGAUGGGCUCAUUGCUUUCAAGGACCCAUUUUGCCCUGUCCUGGCUCUAUUUACUAUUUUUCACUGUUACAUGAGGGUGGACACUGUGCAAGAACUGUCCCUGGUGGAUGAAACUCCUGGGCUGAGCUGUAGAGUUUGACCUGGAUGACGCCAUUCCCAAAGUGCAGCUCCUCAGGGACAAACAGCAAACAUUUGGCACCGAGUGCUUUGAGCAGGUCAUUGGCCUGGCAGGGUGGCCCCACGGAGGCCUCGUGGUGCAGACUCCGCUUUGGGCAGGGGAGGCCGAGGAAAGGCACAGGUGGAGCAGUGGCUUAAGAAGGAUGAGGAAUUCCCAGUCGGUGCCUGUGGAGCUGAGGGCUCACUGCCAUAACCACACUCUGGACAAAGCUGUCCAAAGCCAUGACCAGCAGGGAGGAUGGAGCUGGCAAGGGAGCUGUUUGAGGUGAUGAAGGUCAGUUCUUCCACGAGCAGGACGGACAAGUGGUCACUGUCCCUCUGAGCCGGUGGGACGGCAGCAGGUUCCACAGCAGCGGCCUCUCCCAAGUACCAGGACCUUCUCGGUUCUCCAAGCCCUUGUUAAUCAGGAAGGGACGCCCGGAUCCUGACGUGACAUUCCCGUGAGGGCCCUGGCGGCACCCCCGCUGCAGACACUCCUCCCGCCCCCCCCCCCCCCCCCCCCCCCCCCCCCCCCCCCCCCCCCCCCCCCCCCCCCCCCCCCCC